AAAAUGGUUCUCAAAUUUAUAUUUUUAAAAGUUACUCCUUCCCUAGUUUUCAAAACCUACUGUAGGAUGAGGGUGAUUUUGUAAAAAUUGAUUUCUAAAAAAAUUUAUCAAACAUUAAAAUUAACUUUUAACUUUUUAAAAUUAUAUUUAAACCUUCCAAAAUAAUCCCAAACAAGCCCAUAGUAUGUUAGGAGUAACUUAAAAGAAAUUGCGUAACUUAUGUUACUAUAAUUGAUGUCUGAUUGAGAUUUUUUAGAGAGAUUUUAGAGUAUUUUUGUCAUACCUACACCUACUUUAUGCAUAUAUGAUAUACGCGUGUGUAUGAAUUAAAUAUAACUUCUAAUUGCAUGAUGAUUUUUUAAAAAUAAAUAUAUAUAUGUCAUACAUGUAUUAAAUAAGUAUAGUACAAUACAAAUAUUCGAUAAUCUCUCAACUUUUUUAUACAACUUUGAUAAAUUGGUCAAAUUUUCUCUGGCUAUGGCUGUGGGGUCCAUUAUAUUUUCGCCUAAUUCUGCUACUUUAGGAACCAAAAAACGUUAGAUGUUAUUUCCUUAAACUACGAGAAAACUUGUUCUAUUUUAUACUUUUCUAGAAAUCCGGCUUUAAGCUUUCGUUUUACAUGUUUUAUUUAUUUUCAUUUCAUUAUUUUAUUAGGCAAAUAAUCAAAAUCUAGCUAGAAUUCCUUUAUAUGUGAGAAAUUAAUUUCAUUUUGGGGGAUUUAAAAAUUAAGUAACAUUAAGUUUUUCUAUAAUAUAAAAAGGAUUUAAAGCCCUCAAUCUCGUGAACUUUUAUCAAUAACAGAUUUUUAUUUAGUACUUUAUUCUUUCAUGGCUUCAUUAAAUUAAUAUUUACUUGAUUGUUGCACUGUCUACUCUGUUAUAUCCUCUAUCAUAAUUAAUGGUUGUUUGUAUUAUUAAUUUAACUUGAAUUUGAUGUCUCUUAUUUACUUCACACCAUUUACUUUCAAAAUUGGAUCUCUGACGGUUCUACCGGAUACUUUUAACUUAUUUUUCGACUCAUGCUAACAUCAAAUAAUUAAAUUACUAAAAUUGGAAACAAAGACUGGAAUUAAAAAAUAUAAAGAUAUUCUUCAAGUUUAUUCUUCUUUAAUCUUUAAAUAUGGUAACUAAAGUGAUCGUUCAACUCUAGCUCCAUGCAUAGAAACUAAAUAUACCUUGUUGCCGGAAAACAAUGUUUCUUGAAAGACUCACGAUGAUCCUUUUAGAGAUACUUAACACUUCAAUAUUCUUUGUACAGUUAUUAUCAAUUAAUCAACCGUGAGUUCCAAAGCCUUGAUCAUUCCCACUUGCUUAUUUAGCUUGUGUUUAUUAUAAAUUGAACGUGCUACAUUUUCUUUGUGAAGAUUAAAUGAAUCCGACUGUCUUGCCUGCUGUAAUAAGAUGAUUGAAUCGCCUAUAAUCCUUGCAGGUAUAGCCAUUUUGUGAUCUUCCUUGGCCAGUUUUCUAAUUUGGGUAGCUACAAAUUUGAUGAAACGUGCUUAUUCUGCUCACCAUUCAUUCGAUGACCAUACUAUGAUAAUUGCUAUUCUUGAGGGUUUCUUAAGCAUUAUCACUGCAUUUUGCUUCUUACUAUUUGCAGUAAUAGCCUGCUCCAUGAUGAUAUAUCAGAACGGGACUGUUCCUCCAUCAGCACCGGCUAAUGGUAAGGUUGUGCCGUCUAUGACUUUGCCAACUGAUGAGGAAGGUCCAUCCUUGGAAUAAAUGCAGAUCAAUAGAAUUUCAGAAUUCAGUUGUUUUUUUUAAUGUAAAUUUUCUUAUUCUAUUAAGGUGAAUUUUAGGAUUUGGAUUCAUUUCAUAUGAAUUUUUGUUUUGAAUUUUGUGAUUAAUAUUUUUGGAUAAGAAUAUGUUUGUGAUUAAAUUUUGAUUACUUUAGAGGCAUCGAUUGGUUUUCUUGUAAUUAUUUUUAAUUGGCCACGUGUAUUCAAAACCUGGGAGAUGAGGAACUACAAAAUCAAAUUGAGCUUCGCCCAUUUCCUAGCUAGUCCCUAUCUUUUUUUUUUUUUUCUUUAAAUAACCAUACAUUAUUAUUAUAUAUGCACAUGUUACUAAAUCUUUAAGAAAGAUUAGCACGACUUUCAGUUAAAUUCAAUUUUAUGCGAUGGAAACACAGAUUUUGAUUCAGAAAUGUAAUAAUUUGUAUUAUUGGUUUUUCAACAUUGUGGUUCGUAAUAAUUAAUUGAAUAAAAAUGUAAAUGUAAUUAAAUCUCAACCAUCCAUUGUUAUAAAUUAACGCACACAUGGCACAUGGGUGGCUUAAUUUACUUCUAAUUAUUAUUUUAUGUCGAUUCCCCUCUUGCGCUUCUACUUGAGUUUGAAACCACAACCUCACAAGUAGCAGGCUAUUUUUUGUAGGUUUUUUAGCACCAAAUGUUACUUAGAGAACAAAUCUUUAUUCCUCACUUCAUAUUUACAUUUGGGGUGUAGUUAAGCUAUUUUUUGUUUUUUUUUUAUUUGAAGUCCGAAUGAAUUUGAAUUUUUAUGA
rnacentral:lncRNA from 1 species